rnacentral:tRNA from 1 species
AGCUCAAACCGGUAUUCGGAGCACGAAGGAACGAGGCCUCCGGAGCCGUGUGCGCAGGUUCGAAUCCUGCCGGGG